rnacentral:rRNA from 1 species
UGGCUCAUUAAAUCAGUUAUCGUUUAUUUGAUAGUACCUUACUACUUGGAUAACCGUGGUAAUUCUAGAGCUAAUACAUGCUUAAAACCCCGACUCACGGAGGGGUGUAUUUAUUAGAUUAAAAACCAAUGCCCUUCGGGGCUUUUUGGUGAUUCAUAAUAACUUCUCGAAUCGCAUGGCCUUGUGCCGGCGAUGGUUCAUUCAAAUUUCUGCCCUAUCAACUUUCGAUGGCAGGGUCUUGGCCUGCCAUGGUUACAACGGGUAACGGAGGGUUAGGGCUCGACCCCGGAGAAGGAGCCUGAGAAACGGCUACUACAUCCAAGGAAGGCAGCAGGCGCGCAAAUUACCCAAUCCCGAUACGGGGAGGUAGUGACAAUAAAUACUGAUACAGGGCUCUUUUGGGUCUUGUAAUUGGAAUGAGUACAAUUUAAAUCCCUUAACGAGGAACAAUUGGAGGGCAAGUCUGGUGCCAGCAGCCGCGGUAAUUCCAGCUCCAAUAGCGUAUAUUAAAGUUGUUGCAGUUAAAAAGCUCGUAGUUGAACCUUGGGCCUGGCUGGCCGGUCCGCCUCACCGCGUGCACUGGUUCGGCCGGGCCUUUCCCUCUGGGGAAUCCCAUGCCCUUCACUGGGUGUGGCGAGGAACCAGGACUUUUACUGUGAAAAAAUUAGAGUGUUCAAAGCAGGCCUAUGCUCGAAUACAUUAGCAUGGAAUAAUAGAAUAGGACGUGUGGUUCUAUUUUGUUGGUUUCUAGGACCGCCGUAAUGAUUAAUAGGGACAGUCGGGGGCAUCAGUAUUCAAUUGUCAGAGGUGAAAUUCUUGGAUUUAUUGAAGACUAACUACUGCGAAAGCAUUUGCCAAGGAUGUUUUCAUUAAUCAGGAACGAAAGUUAGGGGAUCGAAGACGAUCAGAUACCGUCGUAGUCUUAACCAUAAACUAUGCCGACUAGGGAUCGGACGAUGUUAUUUUUUGACUCGUUCGGCACCUUACGAGAAAUCAAAG